UACGUAGGGUCCGAGCGUUGUCCGGAUUUAUUGGGCGUAAAGAGCUCGUAGGCGGUCCGGUAAGUCCGCUGUGAAAGUCGGGGGGCUCAACCCUCGGAUGCCGGGUGGAUACUGUCGGGCUUGAGUACGGAAGAGGCGAGUGGAAUUCCUGGUGUAGCGGUGAAAUGCGCAGAUAUCAGGAGGAAACACCCAAUAGCGAAGGCAGCUCGCUGGGACGUACUGACACUGAGG
rnacentral:rRNA from 1 species